UCAUCAUUUUAAUUUUAGUUUUUUCUGCAUCGUUAUGUGAUCUUUUUUCUUUUAGUUUAUGUUGGGUGAGAAUACAGAUUAUCUUUACAAGGGACUGCAUAAUCGGGAAUUCCAAGCGUUGAUAAGACUCUUCUUACAACAUUCAAAGCUCUGGUUCAUGGAAUUCACCAGGGUUCAGCUUGCUCCUGUGAUUUGAUAUUUAUGGCAUUCUGUCCUUUGGUGCCUUCAUAAUCCCUCAGGACGUGCUGUAUUUUUGUUUUGUAUACUUAAUUUUGUUGCCAUGGAUAUGGUCUGGUCCUUGGCAUUCCUGUUGCAAGAAAGUAGACCAAAACCAUCAGAAACACUCCAACCACUGUAAGAAACACAAAAAAUGCCUCGCACAUGUCGUCUCAUUAGGCAGUCUCAGAAACGCAGAACUGAUAGCAGAAAAUUUCCGUGAAAGGAUUUUAUGAAUUUGUGCUGCAUGUCCUGUAAAUGCAGAGAACCCCACAAACAUAUAUUCAUUCAAAUAGUUGGAAAUAUCAAGUCCAGCUGAAUAAAGUGGCUUGUUGGGCAUUGGGGAUCCAUCAUCUCUAGCAAGGCUUAGCUCAAUCCUUUGAUUAAUUCCGUCAUAUUCAAUCCAAGCUCUGACAUUGAAUCCAUCUCUGAAGAAAAUUACUGCAACACCAUCAUCUAUAGUCACAUUUAACACUAUGCUUCCCAAAUUUAUGCCAAUAUGAUUGUCAUUGGGAUCACCGAAUUCUUCAUUUUUUAAGGUGUCGAAUUCUACUUCAAGAACCUUUGAUGGAGGAGCAUCUUGCCAGAAUCUGCCAAAAUGGGGAGCUUUUAAAAUAACACAAUCUGCACAUCCAUCAAUGCAGGGCAGAGUGGGAAUUUUCGGCAGAUAUGAUAUUUAAAUUUCACUGUCAAAAUGUGGGAGUAUAGACCUGGCAUGUAACUGUUGAUAGAAUGACUCAAUGGAAUAUGGAAAUACUCAAUAAGUAUUUGUAAAGGAUGCUUUGGACACUUGGCAGGUAUAAUACCAAAUUCCACAACCGUUACCAACACUCUUCCUAAAGUAAGGCAUUGAUACGGCAGGGGCAGCUUAAGGGACAAAAUUUUAAUGCACCAUGAGGAGAGAUAGAUCAUGGGGAGAAUCGUGGGGAAAGGCCGUGGGAAAGGCUGUGCAGAGAAACAAAUAAAAACAGAGGCAUUGACACAUAAUGGGGGAUUGCGCAAAUGAUGGGGUGGAGAGAGGUAGUAAUAAGGAGUAUUGACCGAUAAGGAUUUGGGGGUAUUAUGGAUGGGGUGCCAAUCCAGCAUCUAGAAAGAAAGCUGUAGAAAUAUAUGUGUAGCUGUAUGGUGUGAGGAAAAGUUGCAGGUUAUAAUUUGUGGGAGAAAGCAGAGGCCCAUGCAAAUAGCAUUAUUUUUGAAUGGUUAAUAUGAUGUAUCGACUUAGAAUUUUGUUUGAAUAAAAUUGUUUCGUGUGAAUUUAAGUUUUGUAUAAGAAUAGAGAGUCUCUGUUCUGUCCAUGUAUGUUGAGUUCUUUGAGUUCUUAGUUUGUGCUGAGGUUGGUUUCUUGUUGCAUCAACCUUAUAUUUCUCAUCGCAGGCAUCGUUGAGCAUCCCCAGCCAGCCUCCAGGUCUUCCCACGGUGCUUUCAUCAGGUACGAUUACGAAAGCUAAGCCACUAGAAGAUCCAGAGUUGGAAUCUAUUUGGAAGGAGAAUGUUGUGUGAAAUGAAAUGAAGCAGAAGUGUCUGUGUCAGGAUCCAACAUCCUGAUGGGAGAGUAAUACAGAGCUUUUCCAGCCUGAAAGGAAAGAUUAUGAUUAAGAUCAUUGGUACUGGGUAUCCGAUGAUGCCUUCACUUUCUUGCAGCCCUGCACAGCCCAGAAACCUUAUUUCAUGAUUUAUUCAUUGUGGGCUCUGAACUCUAAAAUCUGGGAAAAUCGGUUGCUUUUAGACAUUGCUUGCAGAACCCAAUUUGCUACAGGACACUAAUUCUGAGUAUUGGACACCUCUGACAGUGCAAGGUAAAUGGGCUAUAAUAUUUUGCAUAUGAAAGUAGGAUUUUAUUUGUGAAUUAUUCUUGCAGGAUCAAAAUGCAUCUUUGACUGAAUUUAUUAAUUUAUUAAUUUUUUUUAUUAACAUAUAUAUAGAUUGGUUCCCUUUCCAACAGCUGGAUAGUAGUUAUCUGGAACAGAAUCCAAGAUCUAAAAUUCCUGCCAAGCAAUGAGAAUAUAUUAGACUGUAUCCAUCUGUUUCAUUCUGAAUAGAACUAAGAAAACACAUUUCAGCUUUGAAUGCUCAAUUCAGUUUCAGCAAUGCACAUUUUCUUCUGCCGAUCCAUUGUGUUGGUAGGAAAAUAUGUGUGGCUGACAUAUCAGGGAAGCAUAUGACUUAUCAAUUCAAAUUGGAUCAACUUUGAGGAGCUGUGAUGUUAGUUCGUGUUCAUUUGGAUAGGAAGAAAUAAUACAAAAACAAAUACCAAGGAGUGCUAAUUUAAAAGAUGUCCAAAAACUCCUACAUCCUU